rnacentral:rRNA from 1 species
UACAGAGGGGGCAAGCGUUGUUCGGAAUUACUGGGCGUAAAGGGCGCGUAGGCGGCCUUCUAAGUCGAACGUGAAAUCCCUGGGCUCAACCCAGGAACUGCGUCCGAUACUGGAAGGCUUGAAUCCGGGAGAGGGAUGCGGAAUUCCAGGUGUAGCGGUGAAAUGCGUAGAUAUCUGGAGGAACACCGGUGGCGAAGGCAGAUCUCUGGGCCGUAACUGACGCUGAGGAGCGAAAGCAUGGGGAGCGAACAGG